rnacentral:rRNA from 1 species
CCUACGGGCGGCAGCAGUGGGGAAUAUUGCGCAAUGGGCGAAAGCCUGACGCAGCGACGCCGCGUGAGGGAUGACGGUCUUCGGAUCGUAAAACUCUGUCAGCAGGGAAGAACGGUCACUGUGUUAAUCAGCAGUGAAUUGACGGUACCUGCAAAGGAAGCACCGGCUAACCCCGUCCCAGCAGCCGCGGUAAUACGGGGGGUGCGUGCAUUGAUUGGUUUUACUGGGCGUAAAGCGCUCGUAGGCGGUAGGUCAAGUCAAGGGUGAAAUCCCCGCGCUCAACGUGGGAACUGCGUUUGAAACUGGCAAACUGGAGUGUGUGAGAGGAGAGUGGAAUUCCAGGUGUAGGAGUGAAAUCCGUAGAUAUCAGGAGGAACAUCGGUGGCGAAGGCGACUAUCUGGCACAUAACUGACGCUGAGGAGCGAAAGCGUGGGUAGCAAACAGGAUUAGAUACCCGAGUAGUC